UACGUAGGUGGCAAGCGUUGUCCGGAUUUAUUGGGUUUAAAGGGUGCGUAGGCGGCUUUGUAAGUCAGUGGUGAAAUAUGGCAGCUCAACUGUCAAGGUGCCAUUGAUACUGCGGAGCUUGAGUACAGAUGAGGUAGGCGGAAUUGACGGUGUAGCGGUGAAAUGCUUAGAUAUCGUCAAGAACACCUAUAGCGAAGGCAGCUUACUAGGCUGUAACUGACGCUGAGGCACGAAAGUGUGGAGAUCAAACAGG
rnacentral:rRNA from 1 species